AUUGAACGCUGGCGGCAUGCUUUACACAUGCAAGUCGGACGAGUGGCGAACGGGUGAGUAAUAUAUCGGAACGUACCGAGUAAUGGGGGAUAACUAAUCGAAAGAUUAGCUAAUACCGCAUAUUAUUCGAGCGGCCGAUAUCUGAGUAGCUAGUUGGUGGGGUAAAGGCCUACCAAGGCGACGAUCAGUAGCGGGUAUGAGAGGAUGAUCCGCCGCACUGGGACUGAGACACGGCCCAGACUCCUACGGGGGUCAGCAGUGGGGAAUUUUUGCCAAUGGGCGCAAGCCUGAUCCAGCCAGGCCGCAUGUCUGAAGAAGGCCUUCGGGUUGUAAAGGGCUUUUGUCAGGGAAGCGGUACCUGAAGAAUAAGCACCGGCUAACUACGGGCCAGCAGCCGCGGUAAUAC
rnacentral:rRNA from 1 species